GGGACACGUGGUAUCCUGUCUGAAUAUGGGGGGACCAUCCUCCAAGGCUAAAUACUCCUGACUGACCGAUAGUGAACCAGUACCGUGAGGGAAAGGCGAAAAGAACCCCGGCGAGGGGAGUGAAAAAGAACCUGAAACCGUGUACGUACAAGCAGUGGGAGCACGCUUAGGCGUGUGACUGCGUACCUUUUGUAUAAUGGGUCAGCGACUUAUAUUCUGUAGCAAGGUUAACCGAAUAGGGGAGCCGAAGGGAAACCGAGUCUUAACUGGGCGUUAAGUUGCAGGGUAUAGACCCGAAACCCGGUGAUCUAGCCAUGGGCAGGUUGAAGGUUGGGUAACACUAACUGGAGGACCGAACCGACUAAUGUUGAAAAAUUAGCGGAUGACUUGUGGCUGGGGGUGAAAGGCCAAUCAAACCGGGAGAUAGCUGGUUCUCCCCGAAAGCUAUUUAGGUAGCGCCUCGUGAAUUCAUCUCCGGGGGUAGAGCACUGUUUCGGCAAGGGGGUCAUCCCGACUUACCAACCCGAUGCAAACUGCGAAUACCGGAGAAUGUUAUCACGGGAGACACACGGCGGGUGCUAACGUCCGUCGUGAAGAGGGAAACAACCCAGACCGCCAGCUAAGGUCCCAAAGUCAUGGUUAAGUGGGAAACGAUGUGGGAAGGCCCAGACAGCCAGGAUGUUGGCUUAGAAGCAGCCAUCAUUUAAAGAAAGCGUAAUAGCUCACUGGUCGAGUCGGCCUGCGCGGAAGAUGUAACGGGGCUAAACCAUGCACCGAAGCUGCGGCAGCGACGCUUAUGCGUUGUUGGGUAGGGGAGCGUUCUGUAAGCCUGCGAAGGUGUGCUGUGAGGCAUGCUGGAGGUAUCAGAAGUGCGAAUGCUGACAUAAGUAACGAUAAAGCGGGUGAAAAGCCCGCUCGCCGGAAGACCAAGGGUUCCUGUCCAACGUUAAUCGGGGCAGGGUGAGUCGACCCCUAAGGCGAGGCCGAAAGGCGUAGUCGAUGGGAAACAGGUUAAUAUUCCUGUACUUGGUGUUACUGCGAAGGGGGGACGGAGAAGGCUAUGUUGGCCGGGCGACGGUUGUCCCGGUUUAAGCGUGUAGGCUGGUUUUCCAGGCAAAUCCGGAAAAUCAAGGCUG
rnacentral:rRNA from 1 species